rnacentral:rRNA from 1 species
AAGGGUGAGUAAGGCGACGGUAACCAACCCCAUGACUGGGUAUAGCCGCGGGAAACUGCGGGUAAUCCCCAGCGACGUCACGGAGGGGCAUCCCCCUGUGACCAAAGCUCCGGCGUCGUGGGACGGGCCGUCGUGGUAUUAGGUAGUUGGCGGGGUAACGGCCCACCAAGCCGACGAUGCCUACCGGGCGUGCGAGCGUGGCCCGGCACACUGGGACUGAGACACUGCCCAGACUCCUACGGGAGGCUGCAGUCGAGAAUCUUCGGCAAUGGGCGCAAGCCUGACCGAGCGACGCCGCGUGGAGGACGAAGGCCUUCGGGUUGUAAACUCCUGUCGAGGGGGAAGAAGGUCCGCAAGGACUUGACUGAUCCCUGGAGGAAGCACGGGCUAAGUUCGUGCCAGCAGCCGCGGUAAGACGAACCGUGCGAACGUUAUUCGGAAUCACUGGGCUUAAAGCGCGUGUAGGCGGGACGGCACGUCGGUCGCUGAAAUCCCCCGGCUCAACCGGGGAACGGGCGCCGAUACGACCGCCCUGGAGGGGCGUAGGGGGACCUGGAACUUCCGGUGGAGCGGUGAAAUGCGUUGA